rnacentral:misc_RNA from 1 species
AGAAGAUGUAUGGACAUUCAACCAUGGAAGUUCAGGAAGCUUUUGUGAAAAUAAGAGAACAAGCAAAAGCUUAUUUAGAAAUGAAGGGAGAGUUGACUAGUGGCCUUAAUUUGAUAAACAGUACUAAUCUGGAGUAUUUUUCUGUCAAGCACAAAGCUGAAAUCUUUCGCCUCAAGGGAGACUUUCUGUUAAAGCUUAAUGAUUGUGAAGGGGCUAAUCUUGCUUAUUCAAAUGCCAUCAGUCUAUUCAAGAAUCUGCCGAAGGGGUGGAUUAGUUGGGGAAACUAUUGUGACAUGGCUUAUAAGGAAACACACGAAGAGAUUUGGUUAGAAUACUCUGUUAGCUGCUUCUUACAAGGCAUCAAAUUUGGUAUUCCUAAUUCGAGAGGCCACCUGGCACGGGUUCUAUAUCUUCUCAGUUUUGAUACUCCAAAUGAACCUGUUGGGAGAUCAUUUGAUAAGUACCUGGAGCAGAUACCCAACUGGGUUUGGCUUUCUUGGAUUCCA